rnacentral:tRNA from 1 species
GGUUUUGUGGUCUAACGGAUAAUGCGUCUGACUUCAGGUCAGUAGACUGCAGGUUGGAAUCCUGCCACGGUCA